rnacentral:rRNA from 1 species
GUGGGGAAUCUUGCGCAAUGGGCGAAAGCCUGACGCAGCCAUGCCGCGUGAAUGAUGAAGGUCUUAGGAUUGUAAAAUUCUUUCACCGGGGACGAUAAUGACGGUACCCGGAGAAGAAGCCCCGGCUAACUUCGUGCCAGCAGCCGCGGUAAUACGAAGGGGGCUAGCGUUGCUCGGAAUUACUGGGCGGAAAGGGCGCGUAGGCGGACAGUUUAGUCAGAGGUGAAAGCCCAGGGCUCUACCUUGGACUUGCCUUUGAGACUGGCUGUCUUGAGUACGGGAGAGGUGAGUGGAACUCCGAGUGUAGAGGUGAAAUUCGUAGAUAUUCGGAAGAACACCAGUGGCGAAGGCGACUCACUGGCCCGUUACUGACGCUGAGGCGCGAAAGCGUGGAGAGCAAACAGGAUUAGAUACCCGGGUAGUCC